GACGAACGCUGGCGGCGUGCCUAACACAUGCAAGUCGAACGCUGAAGGAGGAGCUUGCUUCUCUGGAUGAGUUGCGAACGGGUGAGUAACGCGUAGGUAGCCUGUCUCGGAGCGAGGGAUAACCAAUGGAAACGUUAGCUAAUACCGCAUAAUAGCAGUUAUUGAAUGAUAACUGAUUGAAAGGUUCAAUAGCACCACUACCAGAUGGACCUGCGUUGUAUUAGCUAGUUGGUGGGGUAACGGCUAACCAAGGCUACGUUACAUAGCCGACGUGAGAGGGGGAGCGGCAUCGCUGGGACUGGGACAGGGCCCAGAAUCCUACGACUGGGAGACGUAGCGGAUCUUCAGCAAUGGCAGGAGGUGGGAGCGUGCGACAGCGCGCGAGUGAGGAAGGUUUCCGUAUCGUGGAGCUCAGUUUUAAGUUAAGAACGGAUAUGAGUGUUGAAAGGUCACGCUGUGACGGUAUCGUACGAAUAAGCGCCGGCUAACUACGUG
rnacentral:rRNA from 1 species